GAGAGAGGAGUAUGAGUGGUAUGCGCCUAGCUUGAAACUAGGAGAAGGGGGUUCAAGUCCCUCCUUUCUUG
rnacentral:tRNA from 1 species